GCGAGCGUGGCGGAACUGGCAGACGCGCUAGGUUUAGGUCCUAGUGUCCUUAGGACGUGUGGGUUCGACUCCCUCCGCUCGCA
rnacentral:tRNA from 1 species